UGACAGUACUCCUACGGGGAGGCAGCAGUGGGGGAAUAUUGCACAAUGGGCGCAAGCCUGAUGCAGCCAUGCCGCGUGUGUGAAGAAGGCCUUCGGGUUGUAAAGCACUUUCAGUCGUGAGGAAGGUAGUGUAGUUAAUAGCUGCAGUAUUUGACGUUAGCGACAGAAGAAGCACCGGCUAACUCCGUGCCAGCAGCCGCGGUAAUACGGAGGGUGCGAGCGUUAAUCGGAAUUACUGGGCGUAAAGCGCAUGCAGGUGGUUUGUUAAGUCAGAUGUGAAAGCCCGGGGCGUCAACCUCGGAAUAGCAUUUGAAACUGGCAGACUAGAGUACUGUAGGAGGGGGGUAGGAAUUUCAGGUGUAGCGGUGAAAUGCGUAGAGAUCUGAAGGAAUACCGGUGGCGAAGGCGGCCCCCUCGGACAGAUACUGACACUCAGAUGCGAAAGCGUGGGGAGCAAACAGGAUUAGAUACCCCUGGUAG
rnacentral:rRNA from 1 species